rnacentral:rRNA from 1 species
GGUGAACGCUGGCGGCGUGCCUAAUACAUGCAAGUCGAGCGAACAGACGAUGAGCUUGCUCCUCUGCCGUUGGCGGCGGACGGGCGAGUAACACGUGCAUAACCUACCUCUAAGACUGGGAUAACUUCGGGAAACCGGAGCUACUACCGGAUCAUAUAAUGUACCGCAUAGAUCAAUAGUGCAACACGGUUUUGCUGUCACAUAUAGAUGGAUCCGCACCGCAUUAGCUAGUUGGUAAGGUAACGGCUUACCAAGGCGACGAUGCGUAGCCGACCUGAGAGGGUGAUCAGCCACACUGGAACUGAGACACGGUCCAGACUCCUACGGGAGGCAGCAGUAGGGAAUAUUGCGCAAUGGGCGAAAGCCUGACGGAGCAACGCCGCGUGAGUGAUGAAGGUCUUCGGGUCGUAAAACUCUGUUAUUAGGGAAGAAAAAAUGUGUAAGUAACUAUGCAUGUCUUGACGGUACCUAAUCAGAAAGCCCCGGCUAACUACGUG